AAUCAGGUGAUAAACAUCACUUCAUGCAGAUCAUUAUGCAUACCAAGGUACUAGGGUUUGGACGAUUUCCUGAAAUUCUUCUUCCAUUUUUAAGCUGAAAUAGAAAAUCUCAGAUUCACAUUCCAAGUGUUCAAACCGGUUUCGUUGUUAUCGAAAUGGCCACCGGUAAGCAGAAAUGGAUUGAAACACAGCAAGAGAUAAAGAAGAAGGUCAAGAAUGGUGAUUCCGAAGGAUUCAGUAAUACUCUUCCCCAUCUUUCUCAUGAUAUCAUUAUAAAUGCAUUUUUGAGAGGAGAUACCAUAUUGGGUACGCAGAUCAAACAUUUACUUUCAAAGACACUGUUUCACUGAUUUAUUUUUUACUAUUUUUUCCAUUAUGUUUUCAAAAUUUUCUCGAUCCAUCACUUCAAUUAUAAAAUUAACUGAUCAAAUUCCGUAAUAUAAACUAAUAAUGAACUGGAUUCAUGUUUGCCAAUCGAAUAUUAAAAGAUACGGCAGCAACAACUAGCUAAUUCAGUUCUUUUUUGAAAACCGCAGACUCAAUACAAUUUGAUUUAGAUUGCUAAUCAUACCCAAUAUCAAAAGUGCACUAAUCUAUAACCAUCAUAAUGUUUCAUCAUCGAUAUCAUUAUCAGAUUCAAAAAACACCACUGAUUCUUCUAUAUAAUCUGUCACCUUCAUAAUAAGCUUGAGUUGUCAAAACAAAAACAUUAAGCUUGAGUUGUAUUUGCUAUUUGUACAAAAGAUAAUUGAUGGAAAAAAUGAAUCAAUCUUUAGCCUAUAAAUUGAUUUCGUAAUCCUUAAUAACUAGAAUAAUAAGUUUAAGUGUGACGAUCCUCUACGUAAGAUUCUACCAAACUUAAAAACCCAUUUUGUAUCAUACUGACGAAAUCCUGAAAGCUAUGGCAUGGGCUUACAAGCAUGAUCCUGAGCACACCGGAGGCCUUAUAAAACUCAUACUUAUCACCAAAGAUGGUGUCGAACACUUAUACCAAGAGGAUGCCAAGGUGUUCAAAGAGUCCUAUAAGGAAUGGAUGGCGGCCCAGAAAAAGGAGGAGAGGGAAGCUAAGCUUGCACGAAAACACAAUUCUGGAGAGUAAGGAAUGGAUGAAUAGGGAGAAAUCUAUAUGGCAUUAGUUGUUCCAAAAGCAGUCCUGUUAUUGAGAUUAUACUGUUGACAAUCGUUCGUUUAUUUUUAGCUCUUUUUUAAAAACCAGCGUUCCUCGUGGGAGUUGGGCUUCACGGUAGAGCUGAUAGAAUGACCCAGACAUUCUCGGUGAUGAAUGUCCAACCUUUUCCCAUUAUACCUCAAUAGCUAUGUUUCACCAGACGAUAAAAGGUAUUUGUUUCCCUUUCUUAUGUGGCGUUUGUUGCAUUAAUGGUAUGAAUGGUUGAGCCUUUUGUAGAAGUGAAGAUCAUUUUGCAGAUGUAGUAGAUACAAAUUAUUUGCGUAAUUGGUUAUCUUUAUUGAAAAAUUAUUCAAUGAAAA